ACGGGUGCGUAACGCGUGGGAAUCUGCCCUUGGGUUCGGAAUAACAGUGAGAAAUUACUGCUAAUACCGAAUGAUGACGUAAGUCCAAAGAUUUAUCGCCCAGGGAUGAGCCCGCGUAGGAUUAGCUAGUUGGUGAGGUAAAAGCUCACCAAGGCGACGAUCCUUAGCUGGUCUGAGAGGAUGAUCAGCCACACUGGGACUGAGACACGGCCCAGACUCCUACGGGAGGCAGCAGUGGGGAAUAUUGGACAAUGGGCGAAAGCCUGAUCCAGCAAUGCCGCGUGAGUGAUGAAGGCCUUAGGGUUGUAAAGCUCUUUUACCCGGGAUGAUAAUGACAGUACCGGGAGAAUAAGCUCCGGCUAACUCCGGCCAGCAGCCGCGGUAAUACGGAGGGAGCUAGCGUUAUUCGGAAUUACUGGGCGUAAAGCGCACGUAGGCGGCUUUGUAAGUUAGAGGUGAAAGCCUGGAGCUCAACUCCAGAACUGCCUUUAAGACUGCAUCGCUUGAAUCCAGGAGAGGUGAGUGGAAUUCCGAGUGUAGAGGUGAAAUUCGUAG
rnacentral:rRNA from 1 species